rnacentral:rRNA from 1 species
AAUAACCGGGAAAGAAAAGAUAUGAGAAGAACACAGGGAUUGCCCUAGUAACGGCGAGUGAAGCGGCAACAGCUCAAAUUUGAAAUCUGGCUUCGGCCCGAGUUGUAAUUUGCAGAGGAUGCUUCUGGCGCGGUGCCUUCCGAGUUCCCUGGAACGGGACGCCACAGAGGGUGAGAGCCCCGUAUGGUCGGACACCAAGCCUGUGUGAAGCUCCUUCGACGAGUCGAGUAGUUUGGGAAUGCUGCUCUAAAUGGGAGGUAAAUCUCUUCUAAAGCUAAAUACCGGCCAGAGACCGAUAGCGCACAAGUAGAGUGAUCGAAAGAUGAAAAGCACCUUGAAAAGGGGGUUAAAUAGUACGUGAAAUUGUUGAAAGGGAAGCGUUUAUGACCAGACUUGCGCCGGGCGGCUCAUCAGGGGUUCUCCCCUGUGCAUUCCGCCCGGCUCAGGCCAGCAUCGGUUCUCGUGGGGGGAUAAGACCGUCGGGAACGUAGCACCCUCCGGGGUGUGUUAUAGCCCGGCGGACGAUACCCUCGUGGGGACCGAGGUUCGCGCUCCGCAAGGAUGCUGGCGUAAUGGUCAUCAGCGACCCGUCUUGAAACACGGACCAAGGAGUCGUCCAUUAGAGCGAGCGUUUGGGUGUAAAACCCGCACGCGUAAUGAAAGUGAACGCAGGUGAGAGCUUCGGCGCAUCAUCGACCGAUCCUGAUGUUCUCGGAAGGAUUUGAGUAAGAGUUUUAACGGACGGACCCGAAAGACAGUGAACUAUGCUU